rnacentral:misc_RNA from 1 species
AAGUUAUAAUAAGGUUUCUAUAGGUAAACCUAUAGAAAGAUUAUUACCUUUCUAGCUAUUUAAUAGCUUGUUAGGGGGCUAUAGUCUCUAUAGCCUCUAACUAAAUCUAUGUUUUUUACGUACUAUAUAUUUCCUUAGCAGGCUUGCUUACUAGUUAGAUAACCUAAAACUCUUUGUAAUUGUAAUUAGCGUCUAAAUUAUUUAAUAAUUAUAA